rnacentral:rRNA from 1 species
AACGCGAAGAACCUUACCUGGGCUUGAACCGCUGGUGACCAACGGUAGAAAUAUCGUCUUCUCGCAAGAGACACCAGUAGAGGUGCUGCAUGGCUGUCGUCAGCUCGUGCCGUGAGGUGUUGGGUUAAGUCCCGCAACGAGCGCAACCCUUACUCUUAGUUGCCACCCGCAAGGGGGAACUCUAAGAGGACUGCUCCGGAUAACGGAGAGGAAGGUGGGGAUGACGUCAAGUCAGCACGGCCUUUAUGUCCAGGGCUACACACGUGUUACAAUGCAGCGUACAAACCGUUGCGAACCCGCGAGGGGGAGCUAAUCGGAGAAAACGUUGCUCAGUUCGGAUUGCAGUCUGCAACUCGACUGCAUGAAGCUGGAAUCGCUAGUAAUGGCGUAUCAGAACGACGCCGUGAAUACGUUCCCGGGCCUUGUA